GUUAAAGUUUCAUUUGACCUGGACAACAUUCAGAUCAAAUACAUUGAUGAGGAUAAGGAUGAG
ensembl:misc_RNA